GUCGUAAGCAGAACAGAACGUUAGCUCCCCACAGUGGAGGUCUGGCCAACAACAACGGCAUGACCAGCAGUCAGCACGGAUUUGAAUCCAGGCAACACUGACCAGAGACCUGCACUAGUUUGGAUGAAGAACGCUACAUACAUUUGUGAACCAUUUCUUGUGUUGGAAAAACAGGAGACCUGAAGAGUUCUUGCAAAGAACAGGAGUGGGCAGGAAACAGGAAUACGCUGUUGAAAACAUGGCCAACCAACUGGAGGAGUCCACAAGCCUUUGUGCUUCAGGAUGGAUGUAAAAAACUCUUUGAUCAACCCCCAACUGAGAGAGUUGAGGUGGCUAUCUUGUGGAGACACCCCUGGCUGGUAGUGCUGCUGAAACAGGUGGAGGCAACAGAAAGAGAAGGCAGGUGGCAAAGGUUGCUGCUAUUGAGUGUGUGUGCAUGUGUGUAGCUGGGUAGGUCAUGGGACAUGGUAGAAAAAUACAGAAUUUAAAGCAUUAACACAAUACUUAACUCACAACCCACAACUACUGACAAUGGAAUUACUCUUUUAGAGUGAGUGAGGGAGAGAGACAGAAUAUUUCUGUAAAUGUUUAAUGUUAAUUUAGAAUAAUUUAUUUCUUUGAAUCAUUAUACAGUUUUAAAAUGUUUAAUUGUUUGUGUUUUUUAAUAUGAAAGAUGUCGAUUGUUGUAGAUGAA